GUGGGGAAUUUUGGACAAUGGGCGAAAGCCUGAUCCAGCCAUGCCGCGUGCAGGAUGAAGGCCUUCGGGUUGUAAACUGCUUUUGUACGGAACGAAAAGACUCUGGUUAAUACCUGGGGUCCAUGACGGUACCGUAAGAAUAAGCACCGGCUAACUACGUGCCAGCAGCCGCGGUAAUACGUAGGGUGCAAGCGUUAAUCGGAAUUACUGGGCGUAAAGCGUGCGCAGGCGGUUAUAUAAGACAGAUGUGAAAUCCCCGGGCUCAACCUGGGAACUGCAUUUGUAACUGUAUAGCUAGAGUACGGCAGAGGGGGAUGGAAUUCCGCGUGUAGCAGUGAAAUGCGUAGAUAUGCGGAGGAACACCGAUGGCGAAGGCAAUCCCCUGGGCCUGUACUGACGCUCAUGCACGAAAGCGUGGGGAGCAAACAGGAUUAGAAACCCGUGUAGUCC
rnacentral:rRNA from 1 species